rnacentral:rRNA from 1 species
UUACACAAAUAUGAAGGCGGGCUGGAACCUCUCGGGGUUACAGCCUUGCUGAAUUAUUCACCCUUGUCUUUUGCGUACUUCUUGUUUCCUUGGUGGGUUCGCCCACCACUAGGACAAACAUAAACCUUUUGUAAUUGCAAUCAGCGUCAGUAACAAAUUAAUAAUUACAACUUUCAACAACGGAUCUCUUGGUUCUGGCAUCGAUGAAGAACGCAGCGAAAUGCGAUAAGUAGUGUGAAUUGCAGAAUUCAGUGAAUCAUCGAAUCUUUGAACGCACAUUGCGCCCUUUGGUAUUCCAAAGGGCAUGCCUGUUCGAGCGUCAUUUGUACCCUCAAGCUUUGCUUGGUGUUGGGCGUCUUGUCUCUAGCUUUGCUGGAGACUCGCCUUAAAGUAAUUGGCAGCCGGCCUACUGGUUUCGGAGCGCAGCACAAGUCGCACUCUCUAUCAGCAAAGGUCUAGCAUCCAUUAAGCCUUUUUUUCAACUUUUGACCUCGGAUCAGGUAGGGAUACCCGCUGAACUUAAGCAUAUCAAUAAGCGGAGGAAAAGAAACCAACAGGGAUUGCCCUAGUAACGGCGAGUGAAGCGGCAACAGCUCAAAUUUGAAAUCUGGCUCUUUUAGAGUCCGAGUUGUAAUUUGCAGAGGGCGCUUUGGCUUUGGCAGCGGUCCAAGUUCCUUGGAAACAGGACGUCACAGAGGGUGAGAAUCCCGUACGUGG